CCACCGAGUUGACUCGGAUGUCAGCGGCCGUUGUCGUUAGAACCUGGUUCUUGUGCUGCCACAUCAUUUUUGGUGGUGGCGCUGUCGUCACCUCCAACGCUUGCGCUCCCCGUGUUCCCAUUCAAGAUGGUGCUGCCACGGACUUUGGCUCGUGGGGGUAUCGUCGCUACUGACAAAGCUUGUGCCCCCUGUCGUCCCUGCUGAAAUGGCGGCUGGAACUUGGAGAGGGUUCGCUGCCACAGCCGCCUUGAUGUGGACAUGGAGGCCGGUGUGAGAGACUUAAUGUGCCUCUGGCACACCUGCCCGGCGAAAGAACUCAUGGAUGCGCCACAUGGAAAGUGAGCAGACUGUGCAAGUCUCUUUUACA